ACCUUCCUUGUCUUGGGGAGCAGAAAUGUCCAAUGAACGUCUAGUGAGGGCAUUGCUGCUGACACCAAAGAUAUUACCCCCGCUCACUGGUCGCCUGCGAUCAGGGUUCGGAAUUUUUGGACCAAGGCCCCCUUACUUAACAGGGGGCCGU
rnacentral:ncRNA from 12 species